AUGGAGAGCGCAGCAGUGUUGAGAAGAGGAAAAAAAAGAAAAACCGCUGACUUGCGAGAAAAGCCCUUUUGUGCGCAAAGCAGUCAAAAUGCAAAGCCGCUGUCGGUCGGUCGGUCGGUCGGUCAGGCGUGUGGGAAUAUCUUCCAUGAGAAGCGGGCCGGGGGUGGGACAGCGACUUAUGUUCUCACACUCAACUUUGAGGCGGGUUCACACGCCGGUCCGGGUUGCGGCGGCCGCUCGGUUCACGCCCUCCCCGCAGCGUCCCCCGGAGGGGUGGGGCCUACCUUAAGACGUUCCAGCUCUUCAGGGGGUCCAGGUCAGAAAUGAUAGAAACCAUGAUGACAGGUUAGAGGUGAACGGCGAGCUAACGUUUGGUGCCAAAAGACGCCUCUCGGAGACGCUUUGGUGGCACGUCGUGUUCUCCGCACGGCCACGCCAGCCAGCCAGCCAGCCAGCCACCGUGUUGCCAGCUUUAAAUAGACACUAUCUGCUGGGCUGAGGAGGAGAAGAAGAAGGAGGAGGAGGAGGAGGAGGAGGAGGAGGAGGAGGGAUAGACUUGACAGCCUCUCGCUCUUCUUCCUUGCUUGCUAUUUUGGUCCCUCGCCUUCACACACACACACACACACACACACACCACACACACCACACAAAUCAUGCUGGCUGACAAUGUUAAUUUGUGCGUAAUAAUCUCAUUGCUGUGGGUGGAGGUGUCGCUGGGUGCACGUGGGAAAUAAGACGAAGGAAAUAAAAAAAUAGAGAGAGA